rnacentral:rRNA from 1 species
UACGGAGGAUCCAAGCGUUAUCCGGAAUCAUUGGGUUUAAAGGGUCCGUAGGUGGACGAUUAAGUCGGAGGUGAAAUCCUGCAGCUCAACUGUAGAAUUGCCUUUGAUACUGGUUGUCUUGAAUCAUUGUGAAGUGGUUAGAAUAUGUGGUGUAGCGGUGAAAUGCAUAGAUAUCACAUAGAAUACCGAUUGCGAAGGCAGAUCACUAACAAUGUAUUGACACUGAUGGACGAAAGCGUGGGGAGCGAACAGG